UCUUCUUCCUCUCAAACGACGAAGCAGCGCGCUUCCUGAGCUCACCGAAAACGACUUCGAAACGCCACCCUUCCCUCGUAACCUCCAUCCCGUUUCCAUCCUCAAUAUAGACCUCAACACAAUCUCACUCUUCUCUCUAAUUUGGUAACAUCACAUAAAACCCUAACCUAAAUCUGAAAUUGAACGAAAAUCUCGGAGCUUCUUGAGUAAUAACCAUGGGGGACUGGUUCAGAGAAUCCAAGCUUAUGUCAUAGUGUCAAGAACAGAAGGAAGAGAUGAAGAUGGAUAGGGCUCGGAAACGUACAUGAAGCACGAAGUGCAGAUUGUUGAAAGAAAACCGAAGGCAACCUCCUUCUCCUUGGAUGAAUCAGAGGCCUCCACUUGAUGUCAAUGUUGCUUAUGUGGAAGGACGGGAAGAGGCGGAUAGAAGAGCUUCUAAUCAGCCUAUGACACAAGUAAGCAAGUCAUCGCGGGCUUUACAGAAGGCUUAUUGUUUACUGCUUUUAAGAUUUGAUGAGACCUUAUGGUUGAGCUGCUUUAUGAAAGUAGAAAAUUUUGUUCCUUUCUUGUUCCAACACAUUUAAUGAGUAUUUUUGUUUAGAAUGUCAUGUCUAGAUGAUUAUAUUUAGAAAUUGGAGGAUAUAUACCUCAGCAAGAUGGAGCUGGUGAUGCUGGAUCUGGCGAUUUUGAAAUUGAGGAAAGCAAGUGCAGCUUGGAGUAAAAAUCAAUAAAGAUAAUGGCCAUCGAUCAGGAGUCACGUUCGGCUGGAGAGAACUAGUUUUUUUAGGGAGC